UAGGGAAUCUUCGGCAAUGGACGAAAGUCUGACCGAGCAACGCCGCGUGAGUGAAGAAGGUUUUCGGAUCGUAAAACUCUGUUGUUAGAGAAGAACAAGGACGUUAGUAACUGAACGUCCCCUGACGGUAUCUAACCAGAAAGCCACGGCCAACAACGUGCCAGCAGCCGCGGUAAUACGUAGGUGGCAAGCGUUGUCCGGAUUUAUUGGGCGUAAAGCGAGCGCAGGCGGUUUCUUAAGUCUGAUGUGAAAGCCCCCGGCUCAACCGGGGAGGGUCAUUGGAAACUGGGAGACUUGAGUGCAGAAGAGGAGAGUGGAAUUCCAUGUGUAGCGGUGAAAUGCGUAGAUAUAUGGAGGAACACCAGUGGCGAAGGCGGCUCUCUGGUCUGUAACUGACGCUGAGGCUCGAAAGCGUGGGGAGCAAACAGG
rnacentral:rRNA from 1 species